rnacentral:lncRNA from 1 species
UUUUUUUUUUUCUUUUUUUUUCCCCCAAUUUGUUGCACCUGCUUCGCUGCUGGUGGGCGUCCUUGAAAAGGGAACACAGUCCUGCACAAAUCAGAGAUGCCGGGACAAAGAAAGAGUUGCAAACAGAAGACAGGAUGCCAGUUACCCCACGUGCUGACAACAGGCUUCAGAGGGGGGAAAGGUGAGAACAGGACACAUGACAGAAAAAAAAGUGUGGGCAUCUGUGCUGCACGGGGUCCGGAAACUGGACACCUGGAUUUCCCCCAGGUGCCUGUUCUGGGUCUACCUGGUGGUACUUUUCCUUGCAGGCAUGAAGUUGCCUAGCCAUUGCGAUAACAUUGACCUGGAGAUGCGCAUUAAUAUUGCCACAUGGCAAACUUCAUUAUGAAGCCUUGUUUUAUUAAUGACCAAGCUAAACUGGUUGGUUACCUUCUGUUUGCUCUUUCCCAAACAGCUACAGUCCACCACACCACCCAACGUUUUAGGCCUUUCUUCUGGUCCUUUCUUUUGUGGCUAUUGUUUCAAGGUGUUCUCUUCAGAGAGGAUUGUGUCCCUGGCUCAGAAGCCUUCCCUGACCCACCAGGCCUCCACUCCACAUAUUUCUGCACCCUUCACUUGUUUCUGCCUCCCUCCAUGCUUACUGCAUUUUGAAGCCUAGAGGUGUUUCCUUGUCCUAAUUUCUUGGCCAUUGCACAUCUUAGUGGAUUCUGUGCAAUGAGUUGCUGUAGCUGACAGGACACUUGCUUAGGAGUUAGAGUGACCUGGGCUUGUUCUCAACAAGUGGAAACUGCUGGAGGAAGCUAGCCAAUUCGGUCUCCCUUUUCUGAUCUGUAAAAGUGGACCUGAAACCACCUCUAAAUUCAGGCUGGCAAGCUAAAUAAAAUAAUCUCUCUUACU